UACGUAGGGUGCGAGCGUUUGUCCGGAAUUACUGGGCGUAAAGAGCUCGUAGGUGGUUUGUCGCGUUGUCCGUGAAAACUCACAACUCAAUUGUGGGCGUGCGGGCGAUACGGGCAGACUGGAGUACUGCAGGGGAGACUGGAAUUCCUGGUGUAGCGGUGGAAUGCGCAGAUAUCAGGAGGAACACCGGUGGCGAAGGCGGGUCUCUGGGCAGUAACUGACGCUGAGACGCGAAAGCGUGGGGAGCGAACAGG
rnacentral:rRNA from 1 species